UUGCAAACUAAAGAUGGCGACCGGCGCACGGGUGAGUAACACGUAUCCAACCUGCCGAUAACUCGGGGAUAGCCUUUCGAAAGAAAGAUUAAUAUCCGAUAGUAUAUUAAAACCGCAUGGUUUUACUAUUAAAGAAUUUCGGUUAUCGAUGGGGAUGCGUUCCAUUAGUUUGUUGGCGGGGUAACGGCCCACCAAGACUACGAUGGAUAGGGGUUCUGAGAGGAAGGUCCCCCACAUUGGAACUGAGACACGGUCCAA
rnacentral:rRNA from 1 species